rnacentral:lncRNA from 1 species
ACUUUGCUCAGCUAAUUUAUGAGAGAGGUAUCUAAAAUUACCGAUUCAUUCUGCAUUCUUCAAGUCAAAUACCUACUAGAUUUCUUAUGUAUGAACUUUUGGCUGAAGAAGGUCCUCUCUCUUGUUUGCAUGUGAAUGUUUAUUGUAUCUUACGUGGAGAUAUCCUUCAAGUUGAAAUCUCUCAUUUUCUUGCUCAAGGAU